rnacentral:piRNA from 1 species
UUGCCUUGUACCUUCAUGGUUGCUUUGUGU